CUUCUCCCUCUGCCUCCGCCUGCUGCUCCCUCUGCUUGUGCUCUCUCUCUCUGUGUCAAAUAAAUAAAUAAAUAAAAUCUUUAAAAAAAAAGGUAUGCAGAGGACUUGAAAUUUAAAUAUAUGCAUAUUUUAUACUUUAUAGGUAUAUAUUUAGCUCUCACUUCUGUUCAGGCUAUUCUAAUAUUAAUCCCUCAAACUCUUCCUUUGAGAGAGCAAUGUAUUUAAAAUACAGGGAGAAGGGAUCCUUGAGUGGCUCAGCGGUUUGGCGCCUACCUUUGGCCCAGGGUGUGAUCCUGGAGUCCCAGGAUCGAGUCCUAGGUCAGGCUUCCUGAGUGGGGCCUGCUUCUCCCACUGCCUGUGUCUCUGUCUCUCUCUCUAUGUCUCUCAUGAAUAAAUAAAUAAAAUCUUAAAAAAAAAAAUACAGGGAGAGGAGCCCUGGCUGUCUCAGUUGGUGGAGAACGCAACUCUUGAUCUUGGGGUUCAAGCCCCAUGUUGGGUGUAGAGAUUACUUAAAAGUGAAGAUAAAAAACCUUGAAAAAAAUUUACAGGGGGAAAAAACCUCUGUCCAUAUAGAAUUGUUUGUUCACUUGGCAAAGUUAUUUUUCAAAAACAGGUGAAAUAAAGAUGUCUUCAGCCAUACAAAAACGGAAAGAAUUCAUCACCAGCAACCUGUUCCUAUGGGACACGUUAAAGGGAAUCUGCCAAGGGAGAAUGACACCAGAUGGGAGAUUGGGAUCUGCAUGAUGGAGGGAAGGGCACCUGAAAAGGUAACUGUGUGGGUGUAUUAAUAAUUUUCUCUCCCACCUUGAAUCUCCUUAAAAGAUAAUCAGUGUCUGAAAGCAAAACUGUUAAUGGUGUUGUGUGGAUCUGUACAGAGGAUCUGUACUUUGCACCAGGGCACAAGGGCCAGGUUGGGGGGGGAGAGUGGGUUUGUGCCAUUGUGAGGCUCUCCCACCUAUAGGAGACCACGUGCCGCUCGAUGGCAUACUGCGACAAGGGUCGUAAAGCAACCCCUAACCCCCGCUUCAGCCGUCGAGAGAACAGGCAAGAGAUCGGUAAGGUUGUGGAGCCUUCGAGCCACACGGCUGAGCGCCGGCCCCCACGCUCAGGGAGCCGGGACCGUCCUCAGCCUCUCCUCUGACUGCCUGUGGCAAAGUAACAAGGAGAAACCGAAGGCCCGGGAGAGCUGCCAACCCGCCCCGACCUCAGGGCCCGCCCGUCCUCUGGCGUCUUGUCUCUGCGGGGUGCUGUCCUGGACUAGGCUGGACACAGGGGAACCGACCCCAGGCAUGUUUUCCUGUCCUGGCCUCGGCCUCGGAACAGCCUGAUGGACUGGGACCCUCUUCUCCAUUUUGUGCAGGGACAAGAUGGAGCAGUGGGUGAGAGCAGAGACCUUCUGGAAGGGACCACCCGGUUCAAAUGGGAGAGGGGAAGAAGGAUACGGCACUCCGUCCCAGGCGAUACUCCUCGGAUUCCCGGUAGUAGGUCUGCUUGCCAAUCUCCCGUUCCCAGAAGCGCUUGAGCUCGUGACAGGUGUUCCGGCAGAAGAUCUCCCGGCGGGCGUACUGACUGUUCAUCCCCUGAAAAGGAAGGCAAAGCGUGCCAGGCAUCUGAUGUGCGGUCCGUUGCGUUACCUCAGCAUCCCCACGAGUGGGCAUUACCUUCCUCGUUUUGUGGGUGAGACGUGUGCUCAGCCAGGAGACUAUGGCCGAGCAGCUCUCCACGUGUGGCCGGAAGUUAAAGAACUUGCCCGUAACUCCCACGACUGCAGAAGGAAAAUAGAAGCCUGAGCCUGAACACGGACUAUGUACAAUGUCAGGGAACUUUACAACUGUUCGCCCGGGUGCACUAGCUGUGUUCAGGUCUGGGGGCUGCCAAAGCUACACACUUGGGAGCUGGGUUUGGAGAAUUGCUGAAAACAAGGGGGGCACCAAGCACAUGAUCACAUGGAUCACAUCAAGGAGAGACCAGUGGAAGGCAGGCAGCAAGCUGUGGGAACCACUCAUUCUCCAUCUGCUUCAGUCAUUCUUUGGGCUGAGCUUCUGGGACACCAGGCCAGGGGAGUCACCGAGAGCAGAGGAGGUUAAGGAAGACUCACAGACCCAACGCCACGGGCCAGGCGAGCCUCAUAAGGGAGGGAAGCACCUGUGCCCCAUAGCAAGCUGAGGGCAGAGACCACUACAGAGUCCAUUCACAUCCUACCCAUGACAUCAGAAUGCUUUGUCUUGGACCCUGUUGGCCCCUGGAAAGAAGAGUUUGGGCCACAUUGGGCCCGUUUGCAGCCACGAAUGUAAUGUAUCCUAUACCCCUCUUACAGGUGUAUUCCCACCCUGUGCCCCAGGGCUGACCCCCAAACCGUCUGUAGGUAGCCCACCUGUGCUCUCCAGAUGUCCUCAGGGUGCCCUGCGCUCUCCAGCUCUCUCUUCUUUUGCUACAGAGAGCCUCAGAGUCUCUCAGGGCCUCUCCCUUCCCCAAGCCACACUCUGUUCCUGGUUUGCCGCUCUUCCGUCAUCCUGUCCUGGCAGCUCCUGGAAUCGGCUAUUCGUGAAAUCUCAUCUUGCCUGUAGCAGGUGUGCAGGUGCACCUGUCCUGCUUGCUUAACGCGGUGUGAUCCCUGCUCACCCCCGGGGCCCAGAUUCACAUCCAACAAGCGAAUGGGCACCCUGCUGGGGUCACCCCAGAGCUUCGGGAUUCUCUUUAUGUGUUUUGCACCUCAGUUUUGUCGUCUGUGAAAUGGGAUUGUGAUGAAGAUUAAAUC
rnacentral:lncRNA from 1 species